rnacentral:misc_RNA from 1 species
GAUGAAGAACGUAGCGAAAUGCGAUAAGUAGUGUGAAUUGCAGAAUUCAGUGAAUCAUCGAAUCUUUGAACGCACAUUGCGCCCCUUGGUAUUCCAUGGGGCAUGCCUGUUCGAGCGUCAUUUGUACCUUCAAGCUUUGCUUGGUGUUGGGUGUUUGUCCAUUCUCUUGCAGAGGGACUCGCCUUAAAGUAAUUGGCAGCCAGUGUUUUGGUUUUGAAGCGCAGCACAAGUCGCGAUUCAAAGCUACACGCCCGCUUCCACAAGCCUUUUUCACUUUUGUCCUCGGAUCAGGUAGGGAUACCCGCUGAACUUAAGCAUAUCAAUAAGCGGAGGA